UCGGUUUUUUAGUAAUCAAUGCUACUAUACUAAAAUAUUUAAGUUUAAUUGUAAAAAAAAAUUAGUCAGUAUUUUUUUCGACACUUUUCUCCUGUCCAAAAAAAAAGUGCGUGUUUGAGCUAGUGAUUCCAGUAAUUUGACUCCACGACAUUUUUUCAAACUUACAUGCAGUGUUAACAUGGUUGCCUAAUGCUCGUUUAUUUUAUGCAAGAUAUGGCACUAGUGUAUGUAAAAAUAGAGUAAAAAUGGAUGAAAGCACUAAAGAAAGAAACUGAUGCAAACUAAUACAGAAUUUUGUCAUGCGAUCACAGUUGUGUAGUCAGAGAACUAUUGACAAAGAAUUGAACGAAAAACCGUCAAACAGUAAUGAAUCAAAUCAUUAUAUAACAAUAGUUUUUUGUUGCUUAAGAGUAUUAUUAAAGUCAAAUCUGUUUUUUAAACGAAUUCAUAUAGAGUAAAAACGGGUCAAAUCGAUCACUGAACAAAAUAAAUCAAGUAACUUUUUUAUCUUAAAAAAUUUUUAAACUUUUUUUUUUUUAAAUAAGAUAGAAAAUACCAAC
rnacentral:lncRNA from 1 species